UGGACCACUCAUCACACCAUCCAGUGAUCCAAAUAUGUGGACCCAUUCUUCUACUUGCAAGAUCAAAAGGUGAUAGCUAUGAAGGUUCUGUUUUUGUUGAUACUACUGGGCUUAGUAGUGUGGAUGAAAAUCACUCUAAUGAUGCUCGUGAGAAUAGUCAUUUGUUUAAAUGAAUCAAUGAAGAUAAAUAUGCAUGCAUGAUGCAGUUUGUGUUUCUACAUGUGUGUUUGUGUUUCUAUUUGUCUAUCCAUGUAUAUAAAUUCAUUUGAAAUGGAUAUCAAAAUUUAGAUCAUAAUUGUGCAGAGGAAGGUUGCUAUGAUAAUGGUACUUGUUAUUCUAGUUUCACUACAGGAAAAAUAGAUUUAGGCGGCGUUUUUUUAACGACAUUUUUAAACACCACUUUUGUUAAUAUUUAACGAUGCUUUAUAAAAACGUUGCAUAUUUCUUUAAUAAAACGACAUCAUUUUGGAAUAGAAGGCAUUUAAAAACGCCUCCAAAUACGUUGUGCCUCACGCCGUUAUUUUGAAUCUGAGAAUACUUGUUAAAGCUUUGUAAACCCUUAUUUUGAAUCCUCAUGCUCUCUCUUGCUCACCCCCAAUUGCUUCUAAACCCUUGAAAGUGAUUUCGAUUUAAAGCGAUUUUCUUUGAGAUUCAUCUUUGAGAUUCAUACAGAUUCAUCAAAGUAAUUUCAAUUUGAAGCUCUGAAGCUCCACUCUCUCUCUCUCUCUCUCUCUCAAUUCAUCCUUUGUUUGAUAUCGAUCUGAAGCUCUGAAGCUCUGGGAGAUUGCAAGAGAGAAGAGGGGUUGGUUUCGAUUGCAGAGGAAGUGAUCUCAGGAGAGGCUGUGCUUGAUUUCUCAGAUUGGUUUCAAAGCAAUUUCAUUUUUGAGAUUCAUCUCAGAGCGAUUUUGAUUUGGAAGUUCUCUCUCUCAAUUUCGAAGCUUCACCGCAAGCCUUUCAACAUAUAUUCUUAAGGGCAAGAUCUACAGCAACAAGCAUCGUCAAACCCAUCUAGCUCUCUAUGAAGACAUCGUUUCAAAGAGUGAAUGCCACUGUUGGAGAGGAAGAAGAAAGAAUGAUGAUGACCGGAUUGCACACUGCUGCUGACAUUUUGUGCAUUGGGUGCGGAUCCAUUUUGGGAUGCAAAUAAGAAACUGCCUAUGAAAAGAGCCAAAAGUACAAGGAAGGAAAAUCUGUCCUUGAGCAGUUAGAAGAUAGUUGUUUUGAUGAGUCGAAGAAAGAGAUAUCUGCUAUGAAACCAACUUGGAAUAAAAACAUAAAUAAAAUAAAAAGGAAAAAUAAGUUAAGGAAACUAGGAAAGCGUAUUUUGACAACACAACUUCAAAUAUGAAAUAGUGUUUUCAAAAUAUAGUUUUGAAGAGUUCUACAAUAAGUUAAUUGAGUUUUACUGUAAAUAUGAAAUUACAUUUAUGGUUUUAUGAUAGUUGUUAACUUCUAUUGA